rnacentral:rRNA from 1 species
GCUUAUUGGGCAAGCGUUAUCCGGACUUAUUGUGCGUCCCGAGUGCGUAGGUGGUUUUUUAAGCGUGAGGUGAAAGGCAAUAGCUUAACUAUUGUAAGCCUUGCGAACUGGAAGACUUGAGUGCAGGAGAGGAAAGUGGAAUUCCUAGUGUAGCGGUGAAAUGCGUAGAUAUUAGGAGGAACACCAGUGGCGAAGGCGACUUUCUGGACUGUAACUGACACUGAGGCACGAAAGCGUGGGGAGCAAACAG